UCCAGGGUAGCCUAGUGGACAUGGCAUCUGCCUGGUAAGCGGAAACUGUGGGUUCGACUCUCAUCCCCGGAC